rnacentral:tRNA from 1 species
GAGGGCGUAUCUCAGUGGUAGAGGGCGUGCUUAGCAUGCACGAGGUCCUGGGUUCAAUCCCCAGUACCCUCU